rnacentral:rRNA from 1 species
CCUACGUGUGGCUGCAGUGGGGAAUAUUGCACAAUGGGGGACACCCUGAUGCCGCGACGCCGCGUGAGCGAUGAAGUAUUUCGGUAUGUAAAGCUCUAUCAGCAGGGAAGAAAAUGACGGUACCUGACUAAGAAGCCCCGGCUAACUACGUGCCAGCAGCCGCGGUAAUACGUAGGGGGCAAGCGUUAUCCGGAUUUACUGGGUGUAAAGGGAGCGUAGACGGCUGUGCAAGCCAGAUGUGAAAGCCCGGGGCUCAACCCCGGGACUGCAUUUGGAACUGUGUGGCUGGAGUGUCGGAGAGGCAGGCGGAAUUCCUAGUGUAGCGGUGAAAUGCGUAGAUAUUAGGAGGAACACCAGUGGCGAAGGCGGCCUGCUGGACGAUGACUGACGUUGAGGCUCGAAAGCGUGGGGAGCAAACAGGAUUAGAUACCCCAGUAGUC